rnacentral:tRNA from 1 species
GUGAAUAUAAUUUAACCAAAAUGCUAGAUUGUGAUUCUAAAAAUAGAGGUUAAACUCCUCUUGUUCACC